UAGAUAAUUGAAAAGGGCAUUUGGUGGAUGCCUUGGCAUCAGAAGGCGAUGAAAGAAGUGGGAGGCUGCUGUAAGCCUCGGGGAACCGCCAACCAGGUUUUGAUCCGAGGAUUUCUGAAUGAGGCGACUCUCUUGGAGUAAUCCAAGAAUCUUUAUCCGAAUAUAUAAGAUAAAGAGGCGAACGGCGUGAACUGAAACAUCUAAGUAACGCUAGGAAAAGAAAACGAAUGUGAUUCCCUAAGUAGUGGUGAGCGAAAUGGGAAGAGCCAAAAACUUGUGCAAUGUAAGAUGAUACUCGUUGUUGUACAAGGGAUACGGGAAUUAAUUGUCGAGAUGUAUCAGUCUCGAGUUCUAUGACCAGUUUAGUUGAAGUGCUUUGGAAUAUGCUACCGUAGAAGGUGAAAGUCCUGUAAAUGAAAAGCUGAUAACAUGGAAUUAUUAAUCUCCCAAGUACCACGGAGCACGUGAAAUUUCGUGGGAAUUUGCCCAGACCAUUGGGUAAGGCUAAAUACUAUCUGAUGACCGAUAGCGAACAAGUACCGUGAGGGAAAGGCGAAAAGAACCCCGGGAGGGGAGUGAAAUAGAACCUGAAACCAAAUGUCUACAAUCGGAGGAAGCACAUUAUAUGUAAGUGCAACCUCGUACCUUUUGCAUAAUGAGCCAACGAGUUACUUCUGUAUUGCAAGGUUAAGUCUUGUAAGGAUGGAGCCGAAGCGAAAGCGAGUCUGAAUAGGGCGUUAAGUAGUACGGAGUAGACCCGAAACCCGGUGAGCUACCUAUGGCCAAGGUGAAGUCCAGGUGAAACUGGAUGGAGGCCUGAACUUGUGUGUGUUGAAAAAUGCUAAGAUGAGCUGUGGGUAGGGGUGAAAGGCCAAUCAAACCGGGAGAUAGCUGGUUCUCCUCGAAAUAUAUUUAGGUAUAGCCUUGGAAAGUAGGAUGUGGCGGUAAAGCACAGUUUAGGCUAGGGGGAGUGAUCCUACCAAACCUUUACUAACUCUGAAUGUUACAUGUGUAAUUCCAGGAGGCAGACUGCGGGGGAUAAGCUCCGUAGUCGAAAGGGAAAGAGCCCAGACCAUCAGCUAAGGUCCCUAAGUGUCCGUUAAGUGGUAAAAGAUGUUGAAAUACAUAGACAACCAGGAGGUUGGCUUAGAAGCAGCCAUCCUUUAAAGAAAGCGUAACAGCUCACUGGUCAAGUGUCUCUGCGCUGAAGCAUAAGCGGGGCUCAAACGGACCACCGAAGCUAUGGAUGCAUAUGAAAAUAUGCGUGGUAGAGGAGCGUUCUCUGAUGGUGAGUUUGACUGUAAAGACAGAUGACGAGUCAGAGAAGUGAGAAUGUUGGCAUAAGUAACGAAAAAACAGGUGAAAUUCCUGUUCGCCGUAAGCCCAAGGGUUCCGUGAGAAAGGUUUAUCCACUCAGGGUUAGUCGAUGCCUAAGCCGAGGCCAAUUGGAGUAGGCGAUGGGAAGCAGGUUAAAUAUUCCUGCACCACUUUUAGCGUUGAGCGAUGGGGUGACGCAGUAAGGUAAGCUGACUUAGCGUGUGGGAUGCUAAGCGAAGUAUUUAGAGGGGUUUUGAAGGAAAAUCCUCAAAACCGUUAUCCUUGAGAUAUGACAGGCAUAUCAAUCUAGGUGAAAGAUAUGUUCAGCCGGACCUACACUGACCAGAAAAACCUCUAGUUAGCAAAAAAGUGAUCGUACCGGAAACCGACACAGGUGGGCGAGUAGAGUAUACUAAGGCGUUGAGAUAACUCUCAUUCAGGAACUCGGCAAAAUAGCCCCGUAACUUCGGGAGAAGGGGUGCCAUCGAUGUUAUUAAGUUUACUUAAGAAGCGUUUGGUGGUUGCAACAAAGAGGCUCAAGCGACUGUUUAACAAAAACACAGGGCCAUGCAAACUCGAAAGAGGAUGUAUAUGGUCUGACGCCUGCCCAGUGCCGGAAGGUUAACAGGAGGAGUCAGCUGAAAGGCGAAGCUCCGGCCGUAACUAUAACGGUCCUAAGGUAGCGAAGUCCCUUGUCGGGUAAGUUCCGACCUGCAUGAAUGGCGUAACGACUUGAGCGCUGUCUUGAUGAGAAACUCAGUGAAUUUGUAGUGCUUGUGAAAAUGCAAGCUACCCGUGGAAGGACGGAAAGACCCCGUGCACCUUUACUGCAACUUGGCAUUGAUCUUUGGAUUAACAUGUGUAGCAUAGGCGGGAGACUUUGAAGUUGUGGCGUUAGCUGCAAUGGAGUCAUCGGUGAAAUACCGCCCUUGUUCGUUUGAAAAUCUAACUCCUAUCCGUAAUCCGGAAGGAAAACAGUGUCUGGUAGGCAGUUUGACUGGGGUGGUCGCCUCCCAAAAUGUAACGGAGGCGUUCAAAGGUUCCCUCAUAACGAAUAGAAAUCGUUAUAAUGAGCGCAAAAGCAAAAGGGAGCUUGACUGCGAGACACACAGGUCGAGCAGGUGCGAAAGCAGGAUUUAGUGAUCCAGUGGUUCUGAAUGGAAGGGCCAUUGCUAAACGGAUAAAAGGUACGCCGGGGAUAACAGGCUGAU
rfam:Candidate division TM6 bacterium GW2011_GWF2_37_49 TS49_C0009, whole genome shotgun sequence.